GGGGAAGAGUAUGGGUCCACACCUGGCUAGGCCCUUUAAAACUUGGAGUUUUGAAUCCCAGCCAUUGACCAGAGACAAAUACAGAAGAUCUAUGGCACGGGUUUGCUAACCUGGGGCACAGAGAGGUUAAGGGCAGAGAUCUGAUGAAAGCUCAAGUGGCAGGAGAUUGUUUGCUUUUCUAAGAGGGCCUCCUGAACAGCAGAGGCCAAGAGUUCCUUCCUUGGGGAUGAGAAGGGCGGGUGAUGCCAUCUUCCUCCUCCACUCCUUUCUCCCACUGCUCCCCUUACCCACACACACACCAGUACGGUUGGACUUAAGAAAGAAACACAACACCUACAGUGGAGGCUGGGGUCCCUUACACAAACACCACCCUCUCUAUGCCUGGCUGUGGCAUUUUUGUAAGAGCAAGUCUGUUUGUGAGCCAGCUCAGCCGGCCUCUCCCUCAGAACACAGCACCCCCCCACCCCCGUGUACCAAGUCUACUGAUUAAACAGUACUCCAAACUGUCAGCUUCAGUUCUGGCAGAAAUAGGAGUAGACUUGCCUUUUCAUCCUUUAAUUUUAAUUUUUAAAUUAAUUAUUUAAUUUUUGUCUUACAUAUAUUUUUCUUAUAUAUAUAUUUCUACAUAUUUUUCUUCCUUUUUUAAUCUUUUUUUCCCUUUUUUUGAUAUCAGGCUUAUAAGUUUUUGUUCAUUUGUUGGUUUGUUUGUUUCCUUCUCUUAUUUUUUGGACCAAGCUUCUUUGUUCUUUUUUUCGUCCUUCCUUAUUCCUUUAUCCUUCUUUCUUUCCUAUUCUUUGGAAUCGGGCUUAAGAUUUUUUGAUAGUUUGUGUGCUCUUUUGUUCCUUUUCUCUUGUCUUGGAUCAGGUUUUCUUUUUUUCUUAAAUCUUUUCCAGGCUUAUUUUAACAAAGAAAUCAGAAAACAACAACAGGUUAACACCACGACAUAUCAUAGUGAAACUUGCAAAAUGCAAAGAUAAAAAGAGAAUCCUGAAAGCAGCUUGGGAGAAAAAGUCCUCAGCCUAUAAGGGUAGACAUGUAAGGCUGGCAGCAGACCUGUCCACAGAGACCUGGCAGGCCCGAAAGGACUGGUAUGAUAUAUUCAAUGAGCUAAAUAAAUGGGGGAAAAUAUGCAACCAAGAAUAAUUUAUCCUACAAGGUUGUCAUUCAGAAUAGGAGAAAUAAAGAGUUUCCAAGAUAAACAAAAACUAAAGGAGUUCAUAAACACUAAACCAGUCCUGAAAGAAAUAUUGAAGGGAAUACUUUGACUGGGAAAGAGAGACCUAAAGUAACAAAGACUAGAAAGGAAUAGAGGCAAUCUACAGGAACGGCAACUUGACAGGUAAUACAAUGGCACUAAAUUCAAAUAAUUACUCAAUGUAAAAGCAGUAGAUACUCCAAUCAAAAGACUUAGGGUAUCAGAGUGGAUAAAAAAAACCAAGACCCAUUGAUAUGUUGCCUAGAAGAGACUCAUUUUAAGCACAAAGACACCUCCAGAUUAAAGUGAGAGAGUGGAGGACCAUUAAUCAUGCUAAUGGACAUCAAAAUAAAGACAUCCUCAUAUUAGAAAAAUUAGAUUGUAAGCCAAACACUGUAAUAAGAGAUGAAAAAGGAGAGUAUAUCAUAAGAAAAGGAUCUAUUCAACAAGAUAUUUUUUAAGGUUUUAUCUAUUCAUGAGAGAUACAGAGACAUAGGCAGAGGGAGAAGCAGGCUCCAUGCAGGGAGCCCGAUAUGGAACUCGAUCCUAGGACUCUGGGAUCAAGCCCUAAGCCAAAGGCAGACACUCAACCACUGAGCCACCGAGGCGGCCCUCAACAAGAAGAUCUUAUAAGUGUAAAUAUUUAUGUACCUAACUUGGGAACAAAUAUAGAAAACAAUUAAUAACAAACUUAAAGAAACACAUUGAUAAUAAUACAAUAAUAAUAGGGGACACCCCACUCACAUCAAUAGAUCAUCUAAGCAGAAAAUCAACAAAGACAUAGGGCUUUGAAUGAUACUAUGGACUGGAUGGACUUAACAGAUAUAUCGAGAGGAUUUCAUCCUAAAGCAGUAGGACACACAUUCUUUUCAAGUGCACAUGAAACAUUCUCCAGAAUAGAUCUCAUACUGGAUCAAAAUCAGCCCUCAACAAUUAUAAAAAGAUUGAGAGUAUUCCAUGCCUAUUUUCAGAGCACAAUGCUAUGAAACUUGAAGUCGAACAAAAGAAAAAAAUUGGAAGGAACACAAAUACAUGGAAGUUAAGGAACAUCUGACUAAAGAAUGAAUGGGUCAAUGAGGAAAUUAAAGAGCAAUUUUAUAAAUACAUAGAAAUAAAUGAAAAUGAAUACAUGACAGUUCAAAAUCUUUGGGAUGCACCACCAAAGGCAGUCCUCAGAGGGAAUUAUUUGGCAACACAGGCCUUCCUCAAGAAGCAAGAAACGCCUCCAAUAUACAACCUAACCUUAAUCCUAAAGGAGCUUCAAAAAGGACAGCAAAUAAAGCCUAACUUUAUUUGCUGGAGCAGGAGAAGGGAAAUAAUAAUGAUUAGAGCAGAAAUCAAUGAUAUAGAAAUUUUUUAAAAGAGGGAACUGAUCAAUGAAACUAGGAGCUGAUUCUUUCAAAGAAUUAAAAAAAUUGAUAAACCCCUAGCCAGACUUAUAAAAAAAA
rnacentral:lncRNA from 1 species